GAAAUCUUGCUUGCCUUGUGGAGAAGCAGUGACAGGUAAACACUGAGGUAUCCCAGGGUGUGAUGGAAAUGCAGAUGUAGCUGAAUAAUUGCCAAAUUGCACUCCACAUCUUCAGAUMACACCGUGGUUUGGAAAAUCCUUUCCUGGAGAACCAUGCAAUUGAAAAAGAAGAGGUGAAUGAAGGGAAAGCACCAGCAGAGAAAUACAGGUUUCUAUUGCUAUACUUCUUGUUUCCUAAUCUCCUUGGGAUAAAUUUAACUUUGUUUUUCAAGAAUAGUGUGAYAUGCACUCCACAGUGCAAGAUUCUAACCUGUAGCU
rnacentral:lncRNA from 1 species